AAACUUUCAGCAACGGAUCUCUUGGCUCAGGCAUCGAUGAAGAACGCAGCAAACUGCGAUAAGUAGUGUGACUUGCCGUCGUGAAUCAUUGAAUUUUUGAACGCACAUUGCGCUGGGGAGCAUUCUCCCCGGCAUGCAAGGUCGAGCGGCAGUCGUUUUGUUGGGGGACGCAGUGCGCCUCUGAAAAGCAUUUCAGUAUGAAGUAAAAAUCGUACACG
rnacentral:rRNA from 1 species